AUUGAACGCUGGCGGCAGGCCUAACACAUGCAAGUCGACCGGGCGGCGGACGGGUGAGUAAUGUAUGGGGACUGCCCGGUAAGGGGGGAUAACUGCUGACGACGGCUGCUACUACCUCAUACUAUCGGAUGCCCCAUAUGGCAUUAGCUAGUAGGUGAGGUAAUGGCUCACCUAGGCGACGAUCCCUAGCUGGUCUGAGAGGAUGAUCGGCCAGACUGGGAGUGAGACACGGCACAGAGGCCUACGGAGGCAGCAUUGGGGAAUAGGGCACAAUGGGCGCAAGCAUGAGGAAGCCAGGCCGCGUGUAUGAAGAAGGCCUUAGGGUUGUAAAGUACUGUCAGUCGGGAGGCGUUACCGACAGAAGAAGCAACGGCUAACUCCGUGCCAGCAGCCGCGGUAAUUC
rnacentral:rRNA from 1 species